ACGAGUGACCUCUGGUGGCGAUCGGAAGAAAGUCCAUGGACAGGAUUCGUAACAGUUAUUGGCCAACAAUUUUCACUGACACAAAGCACUACAAUAAACUACAAAAACUGCACAUUAAAUCUACAGAUUCAACUGGAAAGGACACAGCCAGAAAUAAAGCCAGAACACCAAUGAGAGAAAUAAAGCUGUUCACUGAUCUGCUACACUCCAUUGAGAGAUGUCAUUCUGAGCUGCUGGAGGUGAUGGAACAGAAGCAGAAAACAGCAAAGAAGCAGGCUGAGGAGCUCAUUAAAGAGCUGGGGCAGGAAAUCACUGAACUAAAGAGGAAAGACACUUAGCUUGAGAUGCUCUCACACACUGAAGAUCACCUGCACUUCCUACAAGUGUCACGGAAUACUCCGAAACAAGAUCAAAGUGCAGCAUUUAUUAAAGAGUCCAAAAACAACAAACUUGAACGUCUCUAAGAGGCCCCCCACAAGUCAAGUCCUGGACCAGCAACAUUACUGAUAUGAACAUAGAUCUGAACACAGAAACCUUGGACAAAGCUCUUCAGAACCUUCAGGAAAACAUCAAAAUGGAACUGAAGAAAUUCUUUGAAAUCAGUAAGUAUUAAAGGGGUCAUAUAAUGCAAAUUAAAAUUUUCCUUUCUCUUUGGAGUGUUACAAGC